GACGUAGGGUGCGAGCGUUGUCCGGAUUUAUUGGGCGUAAAGAGCUCGUAGGCGGCUUGUCGCGUCGUCCGUGAAAACUUGGGGCUCAACCCCAAGCUUGCGGUCGAUACGGGCAGGCUCGAGUUCGGUAGGGGAGACUGGAAUUCCUGGUGUAGCGGUGAAAUGCGCAGAUAUCAGGGGGAACACCGGUGGCGAAGGCGGGUCUCUGGGCCGAUACUGACGCUGAGGAGCGAAAGCGUGGGGAGCGAACAGG
rnacentral:rRNA from 1 species